rnacentral:rRNA from 1 species
UACAGAGGGUGCGAGCGUUGUCCGGAAUCACUGGGCGUAAAGGGCGCGUAGGUGGCGACCCAAGUCCGUGGUGAAAGCUCGUCGCUUAACGACGAGUCGGCCACGGAGACUGGGUGGCUCGAGCACUGUAGGGGCAGAUGGAAUUCCGGGUGUAGCGGUGGAAUGCGUAGAGAUCCGGAGGAAGACCGGUGGCGAAGGCGGUCUGCUGGGCAGUUUCUGACACUGAGGCGCGAAGGCGUGGGGAGCGAACGGG